AACGAACGCUGGCGGCAGGCUUAACACAUGCAAGUCGAACGCACCGCAAGGUGAGUGGCAGACGGGUGAGUAACGCGUGGGAACCUUCCCUGUGGUACGGAAUAACUUCGGGAAACCGAAGCUAAUACCGUAUAUCUCCUACGGGAGAAAGAUUUAUCGCCAUAGGAUGGGCCCGCGUUGGAUUAGCUAGUUGGUGGGGUAAAAGCCUACCAAGGCAACGAUCCAUAGCUGGUCUGAGAGGAUGAUCAGCCACACUGGGACUGAGACACGGCCCAGACUCCUACGGGAGGCAGCAGUGGGGAAUAUUGGACAAUGGGCGCAAGCCUGAUCCAGCCAUGCCGCGUGAGUGAAGAAGGCCUUAGGGUUGUAAAGCUCUUUCGCCAGGGACGAUAAUGACGGUACCUGGAUAAGAAGCCCCGGCUAACUUCGUGCCAGCAGCCGCUGUAAAAC
rnacentral:rRNA from 1 species